GGGGACAUAGCUCAGUUGGUUCAGAGCAUCUGCCUUACAAGCAGAGGGUCACAGGUUCGAAUCCUGUUGUCCCCA
rnacentral:tRNA from 1 species